rnacentral:rRNA from 2 species
CGGUAAUACGUAGGUGGCAAGCGUUAUCCCGGAUUUAUUGGGCGUAAAGCGAGCGCAGGCGGUUUUUUAAGUCUGAUGUGAAAGCCCUCGGCUUAACCGAGGAAGCGCAUCGGAAACUGGGAAACUUGAGUGCAGAAGAGGACAGUGGAACUCCAUGUGUAGCGGUGAAAUGCGUAGAUAUAUGGAAGAACACCAGUGGCGAAGGCGGCUGUCUGGUCUGUAACUGACGCUGAGGCUCGAAAGCAUGGGUAGCGAACAGGAUUAGAUACCCUGGUAGUCCAUGCCGUAAACGAUGAAUGCUAGGUGUUGGAGGGUUUCCGCCCUUCAGUGCCGCAGCUAACGCAUUAAGCAUUCCGCCUGGGGAGUACGACCGCAAGGUUGAAACUCAAAGGAAUUGACGGGGGCCCGCACCAGCGGUGGAGCAUGUGGUUUAAUUCGAAGCAACGCGAAGAACCUUACCAGGUCUUGACAUCUUUUGAUCACCUGAGAGAUCAGGUUUCCCCUUCGGGGGCAAAAUGACAGGUGGUGCAUGGUUGUCGUCAGCUCGUGUCGUGAGAUGUUGGGUUAAGUCCCGCAACGAGCGCAACCCUUAUGACUAGUUGCCAGCAUUUAGUUGGGCACUCUAGUAAGACUGCCGGUGACAAACCGGAGGAAGGUGGGGAUGACGUCAAAUCAUCAUGCCCCUUAUGACCUGGGCUACACACGUGCUACAAUGGAUGGUACAACGAGUUGCGAGACCGCGAGGUCAAGCUAAUCUCUUAAAGCCAUUCUCAGUUCGGACUGUAGGCUGCAACUCGCCUACACGAAGUCGGAAUCGCUAGUAAUCGCGGAUCAGCACGCCGCGGUGAAUACGUUCCCGGGCCUUGUACACACCGCCCGUCACACCAUGAGAGUUUGUAACACCCGAAGCCGGUGGCGUAACC